CCUACGGGGUGCAGCAGUGAGGAAUAUUGGUCAAUGGACGAGAGUCUGAACCAGCCAAGUAGCGUGAAGGAUGACUGCCCUAUGGGUUGUAAACUUCUUUUAUAUGGGAAUAAAACGUUCCACGUGUGGGAUUUUGUAUGUACCAUAUGAAUAAGGAUCGGCUAACUCCGUGCCAGCAGCCGCGGUAAUACGGAGGAUCCGAGCGUUAUCCGGAUUUAUUGGGUUUAAAGGGAGCGUAGGUGGAUUGUUAAGUCAGUUGUGAAAGUUUGCGGCUCAACCGUAAAUUUGCAGUUGAAACUGGCAGUCUUGAGUACAGUAGAGGUGGGCGGAAUUCGUGGUGUAGCGGUGAAAUGCUUAGAUAUCACGAAGAACUCCGAUUGCGAAGGCAGUUCACUGGACUGCAACUGACACUGAGGCUCGAAAGUGUGGGUAUCAAACAGGAUUAGAUACCCCAGUAGUC
rnacentral:rRNA from 1 species